rnacentral:lncRNA from 1 species
CACAUCCUGUAUGAAACUCUUUCCAUUUGGAUCUAGAAUCUCUAUUUCACUAGGUAACUUUUUUGACACAUUUACCUCAAUGAGCAUACGAGCAUAAGAUAUUCUGGAUUGUUUAGUAGUACACUCAUCAGCAAAUAUAGGUUUACCAAGGACACUGGCAAUUUUACUUAAAGACUUGCUGCCCCAACAAGACAUAGGUAAGUUAGGAAACUUUAUCCAUAGAGGAAUUUCUGAAGGGAAAGCUGCCUUGAAAUCAAAAUCCAC